ACGAAGGGAGCUAGCGUUGUUCGGAAUUACUGGGCGUAAAGGGCGUGUAGGCGGCCCGAUCAGUCAGAUGUGAAAGCCCUGGGCUCAACCCGGGAAUUGCGUUUGAUACUGUCGGACUUGAAUUCGGGAGAGGUUGGUGGAAUUCCCAGUGUAGAGGUGAAAUUCGUAGAGAUUGGGAAGAACACCCGUGGCGAAGGCGGCCAACUGGACCGACAUUGACGCUGAGACGCGAAAGCGUGGGGAGCAAACAG
rnacentral:rRNA from 1 species